rnacentral:lncRNA from 1 species
AGGCGGAUUUUUGCACCAACACUAGUGAUGAAAUCGAAGGCUACUGGAUGCUGGUGCGAUCGUUCUUCAAGUUUGAAGCCAACAGUGUUCUUGUAAAGAAAAAGCUGCGGCAGUGCACCAGUUGGGAAGGAUCUUGACCAACUUUCGUAUGGAUCACCAUUGGAGGACUUCUAUUUUAGAGUCUAAUAGAGAUCACCUUCUUACUAUACUACUCAUUGGAGAAAGUAUA